CUUGAUUCUCAGCCCUUUGGCUAAGAUCAAGUGUAGUAUCUGUUCUUAUCAUAUUAACAUCUGGUAUGUCCUCUAUCCACUAGGCAUCUACCCAGAAGAAAAAAAUAUCACUUUAUCAUAAGGACAUUUACACUACAGUGUUUAUUGCAGCUCAAUUUAC
rnacentral:snRNA from 1 species